UGUGGGAAAACAAGUUCCCGCCUUAAAACCAUGCGUUUAUUUUAAAUGCAAAUUUACGUUUACACAAACAAUUUCAUUUCAUUUGAAUUUGGAUUCCUUUUUCGACUUUUGUCCUCCUUUUUCCCUAGAAAUUCAUCAUAACGAUACACCAGAUUCCUUCUAUGCGAUGGAAAAUGAGAAUCGGAUCGCUUUACGAAUCGUCGAAAAAUCCCCGAUAUUCUAUAACGAUCAGGUUAUUAUCUUAUCUGCUAGAUCUACAGGAUUCUUCGAUUGGAUUGAUUUUCCAGAAAUUAAGCAGCUGCCGAAGUUAUGAUGAAUUUCAUGUGAAAGAAAGAUGAUGAUGUGCCUUGCUUAUUUAACUGAAGAAGACGGGUGAAGUUUAAGUUAAUGAUAUGGAGUUUUGAAGCAAAACCAAAGGCGCAUAUUGAUUCGUAAGGUUUCGUUUUGGUGUUUCAAGUUAUACAUACAAAGCCAUAAUUGUUUAUUGUGUGAAUUAACGGUCUUUUUGCUCAGCUCUCAGUUAAGUGCAAUGGUUGGUUCCAACUGAACCAUGAUAGCUAGACGAAAGAUAUAAAAACUUUUUUGUUAUUCUUUCUUAAUUAAUCGUUUCUGAUUCACCGGCUUUUAUCUCUGCAACUCCUUACCAGCUGAAUAAAGACUUCCAGGGAAGCAGAAGAAUAAAGCUUCAAAAGUCUAAUUAAUUGUAUUUGUUAUAAUGUAUACCAUGAAUAAGAGUUGCUUCUCAACUUCCAAACAACCAUGGUUAUUUACUUUGAUCAACUAGGCAAUCACCUCUUGAGCAUGUAUAAAUCAUAAAUUGCAGUGAUUAAGUCAGAUCCACCUUCUAAUAGCUUUUGACAAUGAUCCUGUAUCUUUCCAGCAUGUACUUAGGUUCUCAGUGUUCUUAAGAUCUAUCUAUUUUGUAUUGUUACCAAAA